rnacentral:lncRNA from 1 species
CUGACACAGGACGGCUUAAUUCUCAGUGAAGGGUCAAAUGUAAACAGAUGUUUUACAUCUGAUAGGGACAGGACAAGUCACCUUUAUGACGUAUGUACUAUGAUGAGACCAAUUUUUACUUCUUCCAACAACCGUAUGAAACAGGGGAAAGUGAGAACACAGUCCGCCACUAUCACCAAUUAUGCAGUCAAGUUUCCCACAGUUGGGUAAAUCGCAGAGGUCAGCGUUUCCAACUUGGAUGGAUGAAACUUGCCCUGGGAAAACCAUCAUGGUAUCUCCCCUGACAGGCACAGACUAUAAGUGUAAGAUGCACAGUCACUGAGGUCUUGGAGGAGAGAGGGGUUACAACUUUAAAGAGAAAAGCCAUCUGUCUGCAUGGCAGUUAUGAUGACAUCAAAUAAGAAGAACUCUUUGGAUUCUAUUUCAGAUCAAAUCAGAGGCAAAGAAGGAAAAAAAUGCAGAAAAGAGAGGGGAGCGGUCCUAAUUUCUCAACUUCACUUGGAAUUAACAAGGCUGAAGUUCUAAUCCUGAAGGAAUAUAAUAAGGAGCUCAUUGAAGGCUCUGGCUGUGCUUUGUCAUCUCAGCUUCUCCAGUGCCCAGCUUAGUGAUAAACAUUAACACCCCGGUACAUCAUUGAAUAUUCUGGUUGUGGUGAGUGGGACACUGCCUCAGCAUGAGCUGAUAAGCAGUGCCAUGUCUGCACUCAGGAUCCGAACCAGCGAAAGCCUGGGCCACCCAAGUGGAGUGCGUGAACUUAAACACUAGGCCGGCCCCUAACAUUAUUAAGUUAAAAAAAGGAUUAUCUCAGAGUUUCUGUGGAUCAGGAGUCCUGGCCUGGCUUUGCUAGAUGCCUCUGCCUCAGGUCUUUUAUAAACCUGCAGUCAAGGUGUCAGCUGGGGCUGCGGUCAUCUCAAGGCUGGACUGGCAUAGGAUCUACUUCCCAGCUGGUGUCAGGAUUCAGUUCCUCAUGGACUGUGGCACUGAGGACUUUAUUUUCUCUCAGCUGUUGGCCAAAGCCUGCCCUCAAGUUCUUGCCACAUGGGCUUCUGUAUAAGUCAACUUACAACAUGGCGACUGACUUCUCUGAGAACCAGCCACAGAGCGAGUGAGAGAGGGAGCCAGUAUAUGAGACUUCAAGCUUGAGAUUUUGCUGCUCAGCAUCCCCUUUGGAGUGUUUUCAUCAAAUAUAGGUUUUUAAAAAUGUAUCUUUCAGGCAUUGCGUCAUAAUGUAAUCUAAUAGAGGUUUUGUUGAGAAUAUUUUAACCCGACGAUUAUGGUUAAUGAAUAGCAAUUAAUAUUAUUAUUUUUGAUUUUGAAAAAAUGUUUCUUAUCAUGUGAAUGUUAUUCUAUCUUUCUUCAUUUUUUAAAGAUUACAUAUUAUUUCAACAUAACCUACUGAUGAAUACUAUGAGAAAACAAUCUAAGUUUCAGAUGUUGUUUGAAUACGCAUAUGUUGACAAAAGAUGCUAAAAUGUUUCAGUUAACUAUUUUUAUCAUAUUUAGACUUUAAAAAUUUAUUUAAAUAAAAAUAUAGGAUGCUGGAAAGUUAACUAUCACAGAAUUUAUUGUAUGAUUUUUAAUUGCUUUUCCAAAAAGCAUUUA